AGACUGUCAGGCUUGGGAUCGGGAGAGGUAUGAGGUACUUCAGGGGUAGGGGGUAAAAAGUACCUGUAAUCCUUUGGAGGACCACCGGUGGCGAAGGCGUCAUACUAGAACGAAUCCGACGGUGAGGGACGAAGCCCUAGGUCGCAAACGGGAUUAGGUACCCCGGUAGUCUAGGGUGUAAACGCUGCAGACUUGGUGUUGGGGGCCCUUCGGGGGCAUUCAGUGCCGGAGAGAAGUUGUUAAGUCUGCUACUUGGGGAGUACGUCCGCAAGGAUGAAACUUAAAGGAAUUGGCGGGGGAGCACCGCAAACCGGGAGGAGCGUGCGGUUUAAUUGGAUUCAACACCGGAAAACUCACCAAGGGAGACCAUCACAUGAAAGCCAGGCUAAUGACUUUGCUUGAUUCUUGGAGAAGAGGUGCAUGG
rnacentral:rRNA from 1 species